rnacentral:rRNA from 1 species
UGCAGUCGACGGAAAGGCCCCUUCGGGGGUACUCGAGUGGCGAACGGGUGAGUAACACGUGGGUGAUCUGCCCUGCACUUUGGGAUAAGCCUGGGAAACUGGGUCUAAUACCGAAUAGGACUCCGGACUGCAUGGUCUGGGGUGGAAAGCUUUUGCGGUGUGGGAUGGGCCCGCGGCCUAUCAGCUUGUUGGUGGGGUGAUGGCCUACCAAGGCGACGACGGGUAGCCGGCCUGAGAGGGUGUCCGGCCACACUGGGACUGAGAUACGGCCCAGACUCCUACGGGAGGCAGCAGUGGGGAAUAUUGCACAAUGGGCGCAAGCCUGAUGCAGCGACGCCGCGUGAGGGAUGACGGCCUUCGGGUUGUAAACCUCUUUCGCCAGGGACGAAGCGCAAGUGACGGUACCUGGAGAAGAAGCACCGGCCAACUACGUGCCAGCAGCCGCGGUAAUACGUAGGGUGCGAGCGUUGUCCGGAAUUACUGGGCGUAAAGAGCUCGUAGGUGGUUUGUCGCGUUGUUCGUGAAAACUCACAGCUUAACUGUGGGCGUGCGGGCGAUACGGGCAGACUGGAGUACUGCAGGGGAGACUGGAAUUCCUGGUGUAGCGGUGGAAUGCGCAGAUAUCAGGAGGAACACCGGUGGCGAAGGCGGGUCUCUGGGCAGUAACUGACGCUGAGGAGCGAAAGCGUGGGGAGCGAACAGGAUUAGAUACCCUGGUAGUCCACGCCGUAAACGGUGGGUACUAGGUGUGGGUUUCCUUCCUUGGGAUCCGUGCCGUAGCUAACGCAUUAAGUACCCCGCCUGGGGAGUACGGCCGCAAGGCUAAAACUCAAAGGAAUUGACGGGGGCCCGCACAAGCGGCGGAGCAUGUGGAUUAAUUCGAUGCAACGCGAAGAACCUUACCUGGGUUUGACAUGCACAGGACGCCGGCAGAGAUGUCGGUUCCCUUGUGGCCUGUGUGCAGGUGGUGCAUGGCUGUCGUCAGCUCGUGUCGUGAGAUGUUGGGUUAAGUCCCGCAACGAGCGCAACCCUUGUCUCAUGUUGCCAGCACGUUAUGGUGGGGACUCGUGAGAGACUGCCGGGGUCAACUCGGAGGAAGGUGGGGAUGACGUCAAGUCAUCAUGCCCCUUAUGUCCAGGGCUUCACACAUGCUACAAUGGCCGGUACAAAGGGCUGCGAUGCCGUGAGGUGGAGCGAAUCCUUUCAAAGCCGGUCUCAGUUCGGAUCGGGGUCUGCAACUCGACCCCGUGAAGUCGGAGUCGCUAGUAAUCGCAGAUCAGCAACGCUGCGGUGAAUACGUUCCCGGGCCUUGUACACACCGCCCGUCACGUCAUGAAAGUCGGUAACACCCGAAGCCGGUGGCCUAACCCUUGUGG